AUGAUGCUAACCUAAAUAAUAUUCCUACACAACCAGGCAUCUUCUGGACAAUGGGAUCUCCUACAUGAUUAUUGAAUACCGACUGAAGACGCCGUCUGCCUUAGAUGAUAUAUUUCUUCAGAGGUUCCACAUUGUGAGAAACCAUCAUAUAGGCAUCUUCUGGACGGUGUGAUCUCCUACAUGAAUAGUGAAUACCGACUGAAGACGCCGUCUGCCUUAGAGGAUACAGUUCUUUAGAGGUUCCAUAUGAGAAACCAUCAUACAGGUUGAAUUCAAAAGAAUCCUUGUUUCAAGUUCGAAGGAGACACGAAGGACCAACUCAUUUCCUAAAACCUCUGCUGUCACAUUGGUCUAUUGUUUUUCGGUUAAAAAAACUCAAGUGACCAGGUUCUGGGAUAUAAUGUGUUAAAUAUGGGAUACAUAUGAUAUCCUGACAGCACCAUCCCAUCUGCUGGAAUCCCAACAGUGAGUUCCUCACAGGCUCACUUCACUCGCCACACAUCGGGCCCGGUGGUUCGCUACUCUCGCCACAGGUUCUAUUUCCACUCGGUGGUAUGGACUGUCAAAGUCGGAAAAAUAUCAUGCUACACGUUGCCAUAUAUUCACCCCAUGCGCUUGCCCGCUGCACAUGCACAUUCUCUCCCGUGCGUGUGCAUAUUCGAAGUUGCGUGCCGGCGCCUCCACGGCCGUGCGCUCAGGCGCGUGGUAUGUGCAUUUACGGUAGAGUUUGCGUGCGUCUAGCGGGCGACUCAAUCGUUACAUAGUAAAUCCAAAUAGUAUGUUUUAUAGAUAAUGUUCCCCUUAAUAAUAACUGUAAGUUUGUUUAUCGUAACUGGUCCCUGGACAGAGGAAUUCCUCUUUGCAUGAUACAAAGGGUCAGAUAGGGUCUGAGCGGUGGUUUCUGGUACCUAAUUAAAGAACAUUUUAUUAGGAACAAUCCGGUGCUGGUUAGGUAAAGAUUAAUCGCUCCUGCGUAUAGUUAUGUCUAUUAGUAGUUUCUGGACAUUUACUAUAUUUGCGGUUCAUUAUCAAUGCGGCGGGAAUCCUGAGAUUCCCUCCCACCUGAGCAGUUUGAUAUAGUCACAGCCCACCUGUUCAAACCAACCUAUGUGCUUUGGUUAUAAUGCGGGGAGACAUUCCUGUGUCCAAUGAACAAUGAGAUUAUAGGUCCCUUUGUAGUGUACUGUAAGCAGUGUAUAUAAGAUCAGCCAGCCUGGCCCAGCUCAGUCUUCUCUGCACAACGGUUUUCAUCAUUGACUAACCCAGAGCUGGAAACCAGGACUGCGCAACAAAUCAUUCCCCAGUGUGUAAGUACUCUCUGUGACCAUUCUUAAUCUCUGACUGUCAUUUUGCCACGUUCUCUCUCUCUCUCUCAUUAGGGUAUAUUUACUAACAUUCGUAAUUUUCGGAAAAAGGUCAAAGUUCAAUCACGAAUUACAUCGAAAGUGUAAACUUGCAACUUUUUGAAUUGAUUACGACUAAUUUACUAAGCUGUCGUAUUCUGCAUUUUCAUUUGUUCCGAUGUCGAUGUCAUUCGUGUUUUUUUUACAUUUUUUUACGGCAGUGAUUAGCAAAACACUGCCGACUUUUUAAAAAUGAAUAUCGGCCGGAUCUGUGUGAUCCGUGCUGAGGUUCAUUUUUUUUUUUAAUUUUAAAC